UCUCCUCCAGGCUGGUACGUUCAUCACAUAGUCACAGACAAUCCGUACCCUCCUCCAACCAUGUCAGCUCCAUCAGCUCCAGUUGUGACGGUUCAUCCUGGAGCUCAGCCUCCGUAUCCACAGCCUCCUCUGAUGCAGCCGCUCUUCGCUCAGUUCCAGCCGUAUCCGCCUCCGGUGCAGCCGCUGAUGCCUCCUCCUCCACCAGAACCAGCUCAGCCGGGUCCGUCCGAGCAGCCCUCUGAGGCGCCACAAC